rnacentral:lncRNA from 1 species
GGGGAGGCUCGAGGGGGCGGCGAGCAGGUACCGCCGGGGACGGCCUUUACCGCCUGGCCGCGGCCGUUACGGCCCGGCCGCUGCCAACCGCCGGCCGCCUCUGCCUCCCCGGAGCGGCCGUGCCGCCUUUGCCGCGUGAGGCCUAAGCCGGCCGCUGGGCGCUGCGGCUGGCGUAGGCGUGCGGUUAAGUCAUCCUCCGCUUUUGCUCUGGUUUCUUCAGCGUCCCUUCCCCCCGCCCCCCUCCCCUGUGUGCCAGGUAGAAACGAGCCUAAUCAUCUCCUCGGGGAAGAGUGCACCAGAGCUGCACCCUUUUCACAAUUUCGUGCAGGGCUUUCUGUUGUGCUGUCUGUGGAAAAUAAAGUGUAAUCAUAACUGCUUCAGACUUAAAAGUAUCCUGAUGCUGCUGUUGGGCGUGAGAGCCCAGCCCAGCACGCUCAGGUAGGACCCCCAACCCCCUUCGCUCAGCCAAACGCAGGACCGGGGCCUGCACCUUCUCGCGAAAGCGAAAUUGCGCUUGCUCUGCUUUAUUAAAUGGCCGCGAAGUCUGAGCUUCUCCAGAGGAGACGUGUGGCGUGGCUGCGUGCGGUCGGUGCUCUUGAAAAUGCAAUUCCUGUAACUGCUCCUUUUGACCGUACUUCUAGAGGAAGAUUGCUUCAAUCUCCUCUUUGGAAAUACCUCUUUGGAAGCAGCAUGGACUUGCCCCAUGUCACAUUAUCUCAGGUAACAGAUGUUGCUGUUAAGUCCUCUGAUUUCACAAACUCUCUUUAAGAUGUGCAUUUUACUCACACUGAACCUCUGCUAGUUUGAAUAGUGAGAUUAGGAAUCCCAUACUCCUCUGUUCGGUCCAUCAUGCUGAUAGUAACGAAAAUCUUACUUUAUCUAACAUGUCAACAUCACUCUAUUAACUUUCCUCUGAGGUACACUGUUUCCAUUAUAAGAAUUUAGAGGCUUGGGGAGAGAAUUAGUGUUCAGCUUUAGCCAGGCAAAAUCAGGCUUUUUCCAGAGUCUCUGGUCAUUCUUUUCCCCUCACAUCAAUGUGUAAUUUAUGCAUAUCUUAGAACUCUGUAUACCAUCCACAGUUCACUGUAUUUUCCAGUAAAACUGCCUGUGUGCUGUGCACAAUGAGAAUGUCAGUUGGAGGAAACCGUUUCUUUCAAAGUGGUAUGCUCACAGAAAUGUUUUUUUUUUCCUUAGAGUACCUGCCUGCAACCUGCCAGCACAUCAUGUGUACAAAAAUAUUUGCCAUCUGACAUAUCUCCAAAAAUACUUCUCCUUGUGGAAA